UUAGCCCUACGGGACGCAGCAGUGGGGAAUAUUGUACAAUGGGGGAAACCCUGAUGCAGCGACGCCGCGUGAGUGAAGAAGUAUUUCGGUAUGUAAAGCUCUAUCAGCAGGAAAGAUAAUGACGGUACCUGACUAAGAAGCCCCGGCUAACUACGUGCCAGCAGCCGCGGUAAUACGUAGGGGGCAAGCGUUAUCCGGAUUUACUGGGUGUAAAGGGAGCGUAGACGGCAGCGCAAGUCUGGAGUGAAAUGCCGGGGCCCAACCCCGGAACUGCUUUGGAAACUGUGCGGCUCGAGUGCGGGAGG
rnacentral:rRNA from 1 species